CUCCUAUCCAGUUAUUCUCUGUGGCCCCUGACAGCUUAGGAGCUCUCAUCUCUUUGACAUCAAGGGCUCUGACCACCAGUGGCCACUGAGUGUUCCACAACUGGUUUGAGUUCUCUCUGGAUCUGAGAUGGCAAAUGAUGAUCGUUAAGGUCAUAGGCUUAAAAGCCACACCUGGAUUCAAAACCCUGUCACUUAUUAACCCUGUGACCUCAGGCAAGUGACUAAACUCAACUUUGGCUUCCUAGUCUGCCAGCUGCUGCUGCUGCACCUAGUCAUGGCGAGCAUGAAAUAAUCCCAACUGCCGGGCCCAUUAUGUUCCCUCCUUCCAAAUACGCAUCUGCCUGUAACACUUCGCUCCCCCUCUCUUACUGAAUCAUCUAUCCUUCACUUCAGAUCCCAGGUCACCACAGACUAGGUUAAGGACCCCUCGGUGGUCGCUCUCAUAACUACUUUUCUCUCAGGGUACUUAUCAAGUUGAUAAUUAAACUUCUGUGUGAUCAUUUAAUCAACGUGCAUUUCAUCAAUGCUUCAGACUGUGGGCUUCGGAGGGUACCCUGGCUCCUAGCAACCGUUCAGUAAAUAAUAGAUAUUUCGCUAUUAAGCAGCACUUGAGCGCACUGGAGGCAUCCGGCCUGCCCUGGCCCCUAGGGCGGGUGGGAAGCGGGGGGCCGGGCCGGGGCUAGUCUGUGGUCUCGCAGGGUUGGGGGCUGGGUCCUUCCCAAGGCACUUCUGUCUGACUCCUUCACACACAGCAGCACGAGCAACCCAGGGGACGGCUGCACGCCAGGCCGACCGCGCCCUACGCUGGCGGGCGAACUCAGGAGCCCGCCUGCAGGGAAGUCACUCAGAGAACCCAAGUGGGAGCCUACAGCCAAUCGGACCGACAGAGGCAUUUUCUUCUCUCCAAUCAACAUCACCACCCGCUCGGAGAACUGGGGAAAGUUCCCACCACACAGACCUCUGAUGGCCUGUCAGUUCUCCCAGUUCAAGUUCCUGGAUGUCCCCUCCUCCCAUAGCCAACUUCCUGCAGACCCUCUGGCAGCCAGAUCUCACACGCCCUGGCCCGUGUUGUGCCUUCACGUCAGCUCAGGAAGACCCUCCCUCCACUCACCGGGCUCCCUCAUGGAAGUACCUGCAUUGGAGGCCCGUCAGGACCCUGGCAAGGUGCCUGCCCAGCUGCUGCGAUCUCUGCCAUCCGCUUCUCCAUCUGCUCCAGCCGCUCCAGUAUGGACAUCCGGAACUGGUUGUCUGAGGGGGAGAGGGUAUGGGAGGCUCACGGGCAGGGUCUAGGUGAUGCCCUUAACACAGAACUAGACCUAUCCCAGGAUCUGGGAGGUAAAGACACUGAAUCAUA